rnacentral:rRNA from 1 species
AGUGAACGCUGGCGGUAGGCCUAACACAUGCAAGUCGAACGGCAGCACAGUAAGAGCUUGCUCUUACGGGUGGCGAGUGGCGGACGGGUGAGGAAUACAUCGGAAUCUACUUUUUCGUGGGGGAUAACGUAGGGAAACUUACGCUAAUACCGCAUACGACCUACGGGUGAAAGCAGGGGAUCUUCGGACCUUGCGCGAUUGAAUGAGCCGAUGUCGGAUUAGCUAGUUGGCGGGGUAAAGGCCCACCAAGGCGACGAUCCGUAGCUGGUCUGAGAGGAUGGUCAGCCACACUGGAACUGAGACACGGUCAAGGCUCCUACGGGAGGCAGCAGUGGGGAAUAUUGGACAAUGGGGGCAAGCCUGAUCCAGCCAUACCGCGUGGGUGAAGAAGGCCUUCGGGUUGUAAAGCCCUUUUGUUGGGAAAGAAAAGCAGCAGGUUAAUACCCCGCGGUUCUGACGGUACCCAAAGAAUAAGCACCGGCUAACUUCGUG